rnacentral:rRNA from 1 species
GAUGAACGCUGGCGGCGUGCCUAAUACAUGCAAGUCGAGCGAACAGACCCGAAGCUUGCUUUUCUGAUGUUAGCGGCGGACGGGUGAGUAACAUGUGCAUACCCUACCUCUAAGACUGGGAUAACUUCGGGUAACCGGUGCUGAUACCGGAUAAUAUAUUGAACCGCAUGGUUCAAAAGUGUAAGACGGUCUUGCUGUCACUUAUAGAUGGAUCCGCGGUGCAUUAGGUAGUUGGUAAGGUAACGGCUUACCAAGGCAACGAGGCAUAGCAGACCUGAGAGGGUGAGCGGCCACACUGGAACUGAGAGACGGACCAGACUCCUGAGGGAGGCCGCAGUAGGAAAGCUUGCGCAAGGGGCGAAAGCUUGACGGAGCAACGCAGCGUGAGGGAUGAAGGUCUUCGGAUCGUUGAACGCUGUUAGUAGGGAAGAAGAUAUGUGUAGGUAACUGUGCACAUCGUGACGGUACCUAAUCAGAAAGCCACGGCUAACUACGUG